rnacentral:rRNA from 1 species
AUGGGGCCAGACUACCGAGUCCUCCCCCUCCGAGAGCAAGUGAAUGCAGGCAAUGAGUCGCUGCCAGUCAUCCAACUCUUCAGGAGACAGAGUCCUACGAAGUGGCCGCAGCUGCUCGUCGCGGCGGAUAGGUACGAUCUGCAGCGGCUGAAGCUCAUAUGUGAAGCUAAGAUAUGCGGGUUCAUUGGUGUGAACACCACGACGACCAUCCUGGAAUUAGCUGAGAACCACCACUGUGACGGGCUGAGGAAGGCCUGCUAUAAUUUUCUGGGCGCGCCCGGCAAUCUCAGGGCUGUCACAACCACUGAUGGGUUCGACAAUUUGAUUACGAGCCACCCCUCCGUCAUGAAGGAGCUGAUCGCCAUGCUUGCGCCCUAG